rnacentral:rRNA from 1 species
CCCUUAGACGUUCUGGGCCGCACGCGCGCUACACUGACCAGUGCAACAAGCAUCCGUCCUUGGCCGACAGGCUCGGGCAAUCUUUGAACGCUGGUCGUGAUGGGGAUAGACUUUUGCAAUUUUUGGUCUUCAACGAGGAAUUCCUAGUAAACGCAAAUCAUCAACUUGCAUUGAUUACGUCCCUGCCCUUUGUACACACCGCCCGUCGCACCUACCGAUUGAAUGGUCCGGUGAAGCCUCCGGAUUGGCGCGCACCUCGGUGCCGCCGAGAAGUUGGCUAAACCUUACCAUUUAGAGGAAGGUGAAGUCGUAACA